UCUAGGGCCAUAUCACCCUGAAUGUGUCUGAUCUCAUCUGAUCUCAGAACCUGGAUGGGAGACUGUGGUAGUGAGAGGGGUUACAGGUAGGGUGAUGGCCACUGGAA
rnacentral:rRNA from 1 species